AGAGUUGUAUCCUGGCUCAGAGCGAACGCUAGCGGCGGGCUUAACACAUGCAAGUCGAGCGCUUCCCUUCGGGGAAGAGCGGCGAACGGGUGAGUAACACGUAGGUUAUCUACCCUUUGGUGGGGAAUAACCCAGGGAAACUUGGGCUAAUACCGCAUACGGCCUUCGGGUCAAAGGCUUCGGCCGCCAGAGGAUGAGCCUGCGUCCCAUUACCUAGUUGGUAGGGUAACGGCCUACCAAGGGGACGAUGGGUAGCUGGUCUGAGAGGAUGAUCAGCCACACUGGGACUGAGACACGGCCCAGACUCCUACGGGAGGCAGCAGUGGGGAAUAUUGCGCAAUGGGCGAAAGCCUGACGCAGCCACGCCGCGUGUGUGAUGAAGGCCCUAGGGUCGUAAGGCACUGUCGGGGGAGAAGAAGUUCUGACGGUAUCCCCCAAGAAAGCACCGGCUAACUCCGUGCCAGCAGCCGCGGUAAUACGGAGGGUGCAAGCGUUGCUCGGAAUCACUGGGCGUAAAGCGUACGCAGGCGGUUUAUCAAGUCGGGUGUGAAAUCCCGGAGCUCAACUCCGGAACUGCGCCCGAAACUGGUAGACUUUGAAUACGGGAGAGGAGAGCGGAAUUCCUGGUGUAGAGGUGAAAUU
rnacentral:rRNA from 1 species